rnacentral:rRNA from 1 species
GAUGAACGCUGGCGGCGUGCCUAAUACAUGCAAGUCGAGCGAACUGAUUAGAAGCUUGCUUCUAUGACGUUAGCGGCGGACGGGUGAGUAACACGUGGGCAACCUGCCUGUAAGACUGGGAUAACUACGGGAAACCGAAGCUAAUACCGGAUAGGAUCUUCUCCUUCAUGGGAGAUGAUUGAAAGAUGGUUUCGGCUAUCACUUACAGAUGGGCCCGCGGUGCAUUAGCUAGUUGGUGAGGUAACGGCUCACCAAGGCAACGAUGCAUAGCCGACCUGAGAGGGUGAUCGGCCACACUGGGACUGAGACACGGCCCAGACUCCUACGGGAGGCAGUAGUAGGGAAUCUUCCGCAAUGGACGAAAGUCUGACGGAGCAACGCCGCGUGAGUGAUGAAGGCUUUCGGGUCGUAAAACUCUGUUGUUAGGGAAGAACAAGUACAAGAGUAACUGCUUGUACCUUGACGGUACCUAACCAGAAAGCCACGGCUAACUACGUGCCAGCAGCCGCAGUAAUAC